CCUUUUCUUUCAUUAAACUUCUAGUUUUUCUGUUAUAUUGUUAUAGAGAAAUGCUUCUACAAUGGGUGUUUUCGUACAGUUCCAUGAAGUGUGCACCAUAAGUGUUUUCGUACAGUUCCAUGUUUCAAUUCCAUCCUUCAUAUAUUCUGUCAUUAGCAUUUUAUUUCCACCUUGGAAGUGAAUUAUAUUUAUUUUGCUUCUUUCUUUGCAAUAUCUAUGCAUCCAUUUCUUUGCAGCCAACUAUUGGAGCAUGACCUUUGACGCAUGUGGGUGCUCUAUGCUUAGUCAUUUUCUUGGCAAUUGCCCAUCCAUGAUCCCAGGGAUUCUGUUAAUAGUUUGCAUUUAAAUAAGAAGUAUUGGUUUCCAGAAUGUCAUGAUUGAGAGUGAAUAAUAGUUAUAGUUUUGGAAUGAAGUUUAGGAAUGUAUGAACAGCAUGGCAUUCUCCUCUUUUGCAUGUAUCAGCUAAUCACAGUUAGCGGAUGCUUUGACUUCAUAUGAACUGGCCAGAGAUGAUUCGUCAAUUUGUUCUCUGCUACUUCAGACAAUACAACUGCUUUUCUUUUUCCGAUAAAAUCAAAUCAUUAUGUAUUAGGUUUAAGUAGUUGUUUUUGGGUAAAACAAUGAAUCUAGGUUCACUACUUGAAUUAUGCUUUUACUAUUGUCAUGAAGGACACUUGAAUUAUUGUCUAACAGGGAGGGUAUCUUAAGAACAAAAAGGAAAAUUAAAAGAAAGAGAAGAUGGGAUAUGAGUGAGGAGUGUGGAUUAGGAAAAUUAAAGGAAAAUUUCAGUCUCACCCACUGUAACAACCAAGUCCAAAUUGUGGUCCCCAUUGUGAAAAAAAUGAGCCGAAUUGCCAGUGAUCAGAUGAUCUUAGCCAUUUUCUUUUCUCUUGUUGAAUUUAUGCCGCUGAAUGUUUUGCUUUUAGUGGUUCGCUCAACGGGCAACAAUUGGAUGGUUAUGAUUAUCAAUGGGAGGGUUUCGGUCUAUACUUAACCAACAAUGGGCUAUAUAAUUUGAUUGGUCUGUUUUCACAUGAAUUUAUGCUGUGUAUGGUGGAUGAGACAACAUAAAGUAAAGAGUGCUGGUGAAUGGCCUGGAUCUCCAGCUGAGGUUCCCAUAGCAGAUUCAGUGAAUUCUAUGCAUUAAUCAUGAGUAAGGUUGGAUGACCUCUACAUGUACCUGUCAUGUGAUUUAUUUGCAUUUGGCUGGUCUAUCCAUAUGUACAAGAAUGCUUGUCUUGAGUCUUCUGACCUUUAUCAUCUUAUGAAAGCUAAAGAAAAUUGCAAAAAAAGAAAACAUUAAAUAAGAGGCAAAGUAGACUUGGCACAUCUCACUCUGUCUGUUGAGGACAGAAAGUCUGGGUAGUGAUCCCCAAAUUGGAGUUCUUGUUUGGGCUCUGCUAUUUUAUUGACUGCUGCUAAUUUAUAUUUUCAUUCUUAUAGGAAAAAUUUUCCUCAAAAUGAAGGCAGCAAAGGGAAAAGGAGCUACAAAUAAGGAAACUAUGGAAGCUUUGAAGCCAGUUGAAGACCUAUUGAUUGAA